UACGUAGGGUGCAAGCGUUAUCCGGAAUUAUUGGGCGUAAAGAGCUCGUAGGCGGUUUGUCGCGUCUGCUGUGAAAACCCGAGGCUCAACCUCGGGCCUGCAGUGGGUACGGGCAGACUAGAGUGCGGUAGGGGAUAUUGGAAUUCCUGGUGUAGCGGUGGAAUGCGCAGAUAUCAGGAGGAACACCGAUGGCGAAGGCAGAUCUCUGGGCCGUAACUGACGCUGAGGAGCGAAAGCGUGGGGAGCGAACAGG
rnacentral:rRNA from 1 species